AUGUAAGAAUGAAGAAGUACUCCAUCAAGAACUCGGUGUCACAAGUGGACGGUGAAGCAGCAGCUUCCCUGUGGCCAGAAUCGAGUGUUGGGAACCGCUUCUCUGAAGGGUUUAAUGUACGUGAUUAAUCUUGACUCGGCUUAAUACUGCUAGGAAUGUGGCAAUGACCUCAGCUGAACACUGGGAAAGUGAUUAAUGUUACAUGAACGGAGAGAUUUCUUACUCGAGAUCCUGAAUAAACACAGACAUGCUGUAUUCAGUUACAGACCUUUGCUCAACUGAAAAUGGACCAUGGUUGAAAAGAAUAAUGUUUCAGAUGCAAUAAACAGCGUUGGAGGAAGCAUGGCUCUUGUUAAAGAAAAUGCUGUUUCAAGCUAAAGUCUUACUGAACAUAAAAGAUAUAUGAUGUAAUAAACAAAACGAACCAUG